GCCAGGUGUGGUGGUGUGCACCUGUCAUCCCAGCUACUUGGGAGGCUGAGGUGGGACGAUCAUUUGAGCCCAGGAGGUCAAGGCUGCAGUGAGCUGGGAUCAUUACACCACUGCACUCUAGCCUGGGCAACAGAGUGAGACACUGUCUCAA
rnacentral:SRP_RNA from 1 species